rnacentral:rRNA from 1 species
AUUGAACGCUGGCGGAAUGCCUAACACAUGCAAGUCGAGCGGCAGCACAGCCUGCGCGCUCGCCUCGGGCUGCCGACUGGCGGGUAAUUGAUCGGUACAUCCCCAUCUGCUUUGUCUAGGAGGUCGAAGUAAGGGCAAAUACCCCAUUCCUGCAUACGGGGAACGGGGGGGAUCACAAGAUCUCGCGCGAUUGGACUAGCCGAUGUCGGAUUAGCUAGUUGGCGGGGUAAAGGCGUACCAAGGCGACGAUCCGUAGCUGGUCUGAGAGGAUGAUCAGCCACACUGGAACUGAGACACGGUCCAGACUCCUACGGGAGGCAGCAGUGGGGAAUAUUGGACAAUGGGCGCAAGCCUGAUCCAGCCAUACCGCGUGAGUGAAGAAGGCCUUCGGGUUGUAAAGCUCUUUUGGUAGGAAAGAAAAGCUGCGGUAUAACAUCGUGCGGUAAUGACGGUACCUAAAGAAGAAGCACCGGCUAACUACGUG